AUUAGUAACAGAUUUUGGCCCAUUAGGAUGCCCAACAGGUUUAUGGCCUUUAAGAGGAAUUUUGGACUUGGACUUCCGGACCAACCCAUUAAAAGGAACCCCCCACUGAAUGCCUUGAUUCCUCCUUCCUUAAUACUUCAGCAGAAACGUUUUUAUCCGUUGGGGAUUUCCCCAAAAUCUCGGUUAGGAUUCCUUUCCCAUGAUUCUUAUGGAUCUGUGAGUUGCCUUUCAUUGAAUUAUCUUCCGAAAUUACAGCCUCUAAAUCGGUUAGGGAUUGGAACCGAGAUCCCGAUGAUUUUUCCCCAGAUACAGACUUUCCUAUUUUGUUGUCUUCCCGAGAGGCGCGUCUGGUCCUCCUCUCCACCAACAUCCAGGGGCCAAAGUCUCCAGGUCCGGCCACCGUGUUCUCCUGUAAUUUCACCGCCGAUGAAUCCAUUACCUUCGCCGAAUCAGAGAUGAGGGGAACAUGCGGACAAGCUUCAGUAUUAUGGCCAUAACGCCCACAUGAGAGACACCACUGGUAGGCUCUCGUAUUCAACUCUUUGCAUAUUUCCAUUAAUAAGGAGUUUUGAGAUCAGUGGCUUCCCCAGGUUAACGACCCCUUGCCCCACUAUCAGUAUUGAAAUGUAAUUUGGUAACUUUACCCACCAUUCCCCCAAUGUCCCAUAGGAUCUCCUUUUUGUACAAAUGACUGGGAAGGCCUGGAAACCUGAUCCACGUAAGAACCGUAUUGGGGUAGGGUAAUUCCGGGUUAAAAUCGAUUGUCCAGGGCUGAACUAUUAAGUAUUGCCCAAAAAUAAGCCAUAGUCCCAGUGACAGAAUUUUCUCAUAAUCUUCAGGACUUUGAAAUUUGGCAAGAAAUAGCCAUUUUCAAUGUCCAUUAAUUGAAAUGGCUUAGAGGGUCUCCAGAUGCCAUACAAUCGGUUUUGCAGAGCCGUAAACCCGAUAUUCCUUCCCAACAAUUUGAGGACCACUGAAGUGGACAUUUCCUUUUCAAGCAGCUGAUGUACUCUCUCCGAGACUUCAAUGGAGGGAAUACCAUUGAUUACCGAUUUUUUGACAUCCCCUUCAGCCUUUCCAAGACAGAGAUGGUGCUGGUGUUGGAUCCACAACCAUCACGUCUUCUGCAUUAUCCUCCGAUUCCUUAAAGCGGACUUUCUUUGUGUUCGGAUCAUCAGGAAGAUUAUCUCCUUCACUAUUCUUGGGACAGAGAGAAACUGAAGUAGCCAUUGUUUUAGAGUAGAUUAAAUGUUCAAUUUUAGUUUUCUUUUAAGUAAAAAAAAAACACAACCAUAAAAUAAAAAUAUACAAAAAUCUGAAUAUUAAGAUAA